GAUGAACGCUGGCGGCGUGCCUAAUACAUGCAAGUCGAGCGAACAGACGAGGAGCUUGCUCCUCUGACGUUAGCGGCGGACGGGGGAGUAACACGUGGAUAACCUACCUAUAAGACUGGGAUAACUUCGGGAAACCGGAGCUAAUACCGGAUAAUAUAUUGAACCGCAUGGUUCAAUAGUGAAAGACGGUUUUGCUGUCACUUAUAGAUGGAUCCGCGCCGCAUUAGCUAGUUGGUAAGGUAACGGCUUACCAAGGCAACGAUGCGUAGCCGACCUGAGAGGGUGAUCGGCCACACUGGAACUGAGACACGGUCCAGAAUCCUACGGGAGGCAGCAGUAGGGAAUCUUCCGCAAUGGGCGAAAGCCUGACGGAGCAACGCCGCGUGAGUGAUGAAGGUCUUCGGAUCGUAAAACUCUGUUAUUAGGGAAGAACAAAUGUGUAAGUAACUAUGCACGUCUUGACGGUACCUAAUCAGAAAGCCACGGCUAACUACGUG
rnacentral:rRNA from 1 species